rnacentral:rRNA from 1 species
CCUACGCGUGACAGCAGUGGGGGAUAUUGGACAAUGGGGGGAACCCUGAUCCAGCGACUCCGCGUGAGUGAAGAAGUAUUUCGGUAUGUAAAGCUCUGUCAGCAGGGAAGAAAGAAAUGACGGUACCUUACCAAGAAGCCCCGGCUAACUACGUGCCAGCAGCCGCGGUAAUACGUAGGGGGCAAGCGUUAUCCGGAAUUACUGGGUGUAAAGGGAGCGUAGACGGUUAAGUAAGUCUGGAGUGAAAGGCCGGGGCCCAACCCCGGGACUGCUCUGGAAACUAUUGAACUUGAGUGCAGGAGAGGUAAGCGGAAUUCCUAGUGUAGCGGUGAAAUGCGUAGAUAUUAGGAGGAACACCAGUGGCGAAGGCGGCUUACUGGACUGUAACUGACGUUGAGGCUCGAAAGCGUGGGGAGCAAACAGGAUUAGAUACCCUUGUAGUC